rnacentral:rRNA from 1 species
AAUUUUGGACAAUGGGGGCAACCCUGAUCUAGCCAUCCCGCGUGUGCGAUGAAUGCCUUCGGGUUGUAAAGCACUUUUGGCAGGGAAGAAAAGGCUCUGUCUAAUACCCGGAGAUGCUGUCGGUACCUGCAUAAUAAGCAUCGGCUAACUCCGUGCGAGACGCCGCGGUAAUACGUAGGGUGCAAGCGUUAAUCGGAAUUACUGGUCGUAAAGCGUGCGCAGGCGGUUCGGCAAGAAGGAUGUGAAAUACCAGGGCUUAACCUUGGAACUGCAUUCUUAACUGCCGGGCUAGAGUAUGUCAGAGGGGGGUAGAAUUCCGCGUGUAGCAGUGAAAUGCGUAGAGAUGCGGAGGAAUACCGAUGGCGAAGGCAGCCCCCUGGGAUAAUACUGACGCUCAUGCACGAAAGCGUGGGGAGCAAAC